AUGCUAGUCCAUUUGGAGGCAUCAAGUCCUCUGAGCAACAGGAGAGCGGAGAUGCCCUCCCUUCCUUUCUUUCUCUUUCCUUCCUUCUGGGGAACCUGCCUCACCUGUUUGGGCCCGUCCCUCCCUGCCUUGUGGGCCAGGCGUGUCCGAAGAGCCCUUCCUCUUCCCUCUUCUCUCACAGCCUCUCACUUUGCCCAGGAGAGCGAGCAGCCAGUGAGCGGGAUCCCUGCUGAAGAAGGAGGCGAAAUGGAGGUUUUGGUCCUGGCAGACUUUGAGGGCCAGCUGGGCGAUGAGCUGAAGAUCACAGCCGGAGAGAUCAUCCGCAAGGUCCACCCAGGGCCAGAGGAGGGCUGGCUGCAGGGCGAACUGGGCGGCCAGGUGGGCCUCUUCCCCCAGCAGUUUGUGCAGGUGAGUGCUGACAGGCAACCAGGCCUUCACGCAACAAAGGCAGAGCAAUGGGAGUUGGAAUCCAUCUCUGCAUUCAGAAACCAAGACUUUGUCACACUAGUGUGGAUCCCCCUUAAAUCCAGUUGCUGCCUCCUGGAGAAUUCUGGGGCUUGUAGUUUAGGGGAGGUCCUGGACCUCACUAAACUACAAACACCAGAAUUCUGCAGAAGGCAGAAACCAGAUUUUAAGUGGAUCCACGCUCUGGUGUGAUGAGGCUGCAAGGGAGACCAGAUUUGUGUUGGCUGGUGGUGUCUUUCUUUCUUUUCCUUUUUUCCUUCCACAUCCCAAAAGGCUGAUUGCCUCCUUCCAGCUGCUUGUGGAGAGAAAAUGUGGGAUAUAAAUAAUAAUAAUAAUAACAACAACAACAACAACAACAACAACAACAAUUCCUUCCCUCCAGCCAACAUUCCUUUCUUCCCCAGCUAACUGGCCUUCCUUCCUUCCUUCCUUCCUUCCUUCCUUCCUUCCUUCCUUCCUUCCCUCGCUUCUUCCUCCCUCCCUCCCUCCUUCCUUCCUUCCUUCCUUCCUUCCUUCCUCCCUCCCUCCCUCCCUCCCUCCCUCCCUAGUACUCCAUUUGGGGUCAGAAAUUGGACCCAUUGAGUGUCCCUUUCCGUGACCUAUUGUGCAAACAAGGGUGUGUGAUGUGAGCCCACUUAACCCAAGCUCAGAGCCAGAAUCUGGAUAGAAAGGAGUAUCUCUAAGCAAAGGGCCGUCCCUUCCACCACUGAGCCACUUUGAGUCUCAUUUAGAGAGAGAUGCAGGAUAUAAAUACUGUACAUAGAACAACAAUUCCAUCUCUGCCCUGGAUAUUUGCCUUCUGACCGUGUCCACAGCCGACUAAUGCAAAUCAUCCCUUGAGCUGAUUUUUAUUGCAAAGGCUAAUUUGUUUAGAUGGCACACACUGGCAGAGGACUGGGCCCGAAAUGGGUGAGAGGUGGCCCAGGUGUGUAGGGCACACCUGCUCAUUGUUGCCUGCCUCUCACCUGGAGCCACGCUUCUUUGAAAGAAAACCAUCUGGUCUCCCCCAUCCGUGAAGGUUUCUUCAUUUGAUCAGGGUCCCAGAUGGUGCAGCCUUCAAGUUCUUUCUGGACUGCGAUUCCCAAUAUUCUGCUCCAUUAGUGGAUGGGAACUGCAGACCAAAAACAUUGCCCAAUCUCCCUCUCUGUUAGAAAUAAAAUCCAACUGUCUCUCCCUGUUCCCAGUCUGGCAACUCAUAAGAAUUCAAACAGAUCCAGGUAAAAACAGAUCCUGAAUAUACUGCACAAGACUUAUCUAGUCUGAAAUGAUUUAUUUAAUAUAUUGGGUUUAUAAUAAUAAUAAUAAUAAUAAUAAUAAUAAUAAUAAUAAUAAUAAUAAUAAUAAUCUUUAUUUAUACCCCGCCACCAUCUCCCCAACGGGGACUCGGGGCGGCUUACAUGGGGCCAUGCCCAGAACAAUACAAUAUAACAAAAUAUAAAUAAAACAACAAAUCAUAACGCAUUAAACAAUAUAAUAAAAGAAAAUAUACACUACAGAAAACAAAAUCAAAAGAACAGUAGAACAAUAAAACCAAGGGUGGGCCACAUGAACACUAAGUUUAUGGUUCCCAUCCCCUUGAUCAGGUUGUGUAAGUGUUGUUUAUUGCUAUUUAAUUGUAUAGUUUUACUUUGUUUAAUAAUGUGUUAUUACGCUGUAAAGUAACGUAUGUGUUGUUUUAUGAUUGGAAAUCGCCAUGAGUCCCAUUCGGGAGAUAGGGCGAUAUAUAAAUAAAGUAUUAUUAUUAUUAUUAUUAUUAUUAUUAUUAUUAUUAUUAUGACACAGCAAACAAGAUAGACAUGCU
ensembl:lncRNA